UGUUAGUGGCGACAUCUGGUGGCAGGAGGUGGAAACUACUUCACGACAAACUUGGACGGUUCGCCGAGGAUGGCGCCAUAUUUCCCGCUAUUUUUAUUUAUUCAAAAAACGAUAUCAAUAAUUAUUAGUGUGGAAAUCUGUGCAGUAAAUACUGUAUGCAACUGUACAUGGAAUAAAAAUGUAAAAUUAAGCUUUAACGCGAGCAUAAGGAAUUUAGAUUAAAAUUUGAACACGAUAGAUGUUAAUAUGUUAGAUUAAACAAACAAAUUGCUUAUUUAUAACGAAUCCUCGAACAGUAGCUGUUGCCGUAGGGUAGAGUAAACACGCUUGAUACACAUUUUCGAUACUUUAUUCAUAUAAUUUCGUAGUUACGGCAUUAUAUCUAUGUAUUUACAUAUCUCCAGUAUCUUUUUUUUUGUUCAGAAAGAUCUUAUAAUGCGUCUGUGUUUGCGCGCUACAAUAUAUAACGCACGCGAGUGGGUUGCCUGGAUUUAAGUUGUAAAACGUACUUCUUCAUUGUUUUGUUUUCCCUUUUUUCUUUUUGUUUUUCUUUCUUUUAGUAUCUUUACAGUUUAUUCUCGCCCCGUUGCUUUCAGCGACACGUAAAACAUGCGUCGCUACGCGAAACAAGAGAAAUCUCUAUUAAAAUGGCGCGAUUUUAAAUCAAUGUGUUUACAAGUUGGAAAAGUAACUAAACAAGAGGCUCGACGUGUAAAAAAUCUAAACGCAUCGUUGCACGCUAAACUAGUUUUGUACCACGCAUUUAUUUAUCCGUCUUAUCGUUUUCGAAAAUGAAAUUUCUGAUACGAGCUGUUCGAAGAACAAUUGGCUCGAACCGUUUUUAAAAAGUCGUUUAAAUUAGUUUAAAAAUUUAUUAGAAUAAUUUCGGCUGAAAAGAAAAUUGCUUCAAGUCGCUUUAAUUGAAAAUUGACUUCAAUCGCUCCAAAAAAAAAAAAAAAAAAAAAAAAAAAAAAAAAAAAAAAAAAAAAACCAGAUCUACUCGUUUCGGUGUAAAAUGUGGCCUGCUUAUUUGGAUUUUAAAAUUGAUUUUCAUCGUUUCGAUCCGAACUCGAUUUACGAAUUGAUAUUUCACCGGAACUGAAUACCUCUAGUCACGCGUAUAUACGUGCAAAUGUAUACAGGGUGUCCAAACUAUAAUAACACAGAAUUCUUUUCAUAAAAGCACGACACAGGAACAAAAAAAAAAAAAAAAAAAAUAAAAAUAGAAAACCAAAAAGAUUUACGAAUUCUUGCAACGAACACGAAUGCGUCUAACAAUGUACAACGACGAGGUUUGCGGUAUUUACAAAAUGCCUUGCGUCAAUUAAAAAAACGUGUCGUUGAAUUCGUCUCGAUUUUCUUCUAUUUAAUAUAAUAUAAAUAAAUCGUACGAAAAAUGAACGUCGUUCGAUUUAGUAUUCGUUUCGAACUCGACCGAAGAAAAAGAAUCUAUCUAAUCUAAUUCGUACAUGAACAAAAUAAAAAAAAUGAAAAACAAUGAAAUUCUUGCCCCUUCCAUAUUUUUUUUCUCACGCCAUUUAUUCACAAGAAUGAUGCUAGCUAACUAUAAUGCGAGCACCCUGUAUAUGCCCUUUCUCGCUCGAAUCCUACUGUACAUACGUAUACGUAUAAUGUUUAUGAUACUCGUAAAAAUCGGAAGGGCGGUGGAGAGGGGAUAGCGUAGUGAACAACAAAAAUAUCCGCGAUCGUCGCCGGUUCUACAGUACCGCAAAUCUUUUUAUCGUUAACACUGUAUUCCGUAUUUUCUGUCUUUCUCCGUUUCGUCUCUCGUCGUGUCACCAAAAAUUCUCGUCCACGAACGUAUUUUCGCUAUCUAGUUUCAUACAGGUGCACCCAUACGUAUAGACUGUACAAUGUAAAAUAUAAUUCCAUCUAGCUAUAGCGAUUCUAGAUACAGUUGUGUGAGCUUAUUUAUUUAUUUAAUUUUUUUUUUUUUUUUUUUUAUAUUCUUUUCGUUUUUUCCGCUGGCUACUAAACACGACUCUCGUUUUCGCGAUUAUCCAUCUCACGCACACCCUUAAUUACACGUACACAGUUACAUGCAGCGCAUCCGUCGAUCGUAACAUCGGUCAUUCGCUAUUUAUUCACGUUUGCUCGCGUUUCGUCAUUUCGCGCCUCUCUGGUCGCCGCGCUACGCGUUAAUUGUUUAAGUUUAGGUAUGAUGGCUACCUACCGCGACACACUUAAGUCCGAGGUUUUUAAUGCGUUAAGUUUAAGUAGUAGAGUAACAUUUUGCUCGGUAAGAUAUCUUAUUAGAAGUUGAUUAGUUUCGUAUAAAUGUUUAGUCGUCGGUACAUCGAAGGAUAUGCAGAGAGAGAGAGAGAGAGAGAGAGAGAGAGAGAGAGAGAGAGAGAGAGUUUAGGGGGCAGUGAUAACAAUAUGUUCGCGUUUCUCGAGGUCUGGUGGACGCUUGUUGCGAUCUGGCAGCCUUUGCGGCGCGUGAUUCGUUCCCCACUGGCGCCAGUGAUCGUUCCAAUUUGGAAGAGUGUAAAUUCAAUUGAAGUAAUGAUUAUUGGGCUAAGUAAGCGACCCUGGUUUUCAAUUUGAUGUCACAGUGAUUACUGGCGCCAGUUUAGUGGCGCCAGUUUAGUGGCGCCAGUUUAGUGGCGCCAGUCAAGUAGCGUCAGCUGGAUUUGCGUUUCUAGAUACAAUGAUCUCUGGUACGAGGAAGGUAACCUCAAAAGAAUUGCGUCGAUUGGUUUCAUGUUUCCAUCCACAACGAUUACUGGCGCCAGUUAAGUGGCGCCAAUACAAUACCAUUACUUGAAUUUAUGUUUCCACAUACAAUGAUCUCUGGUACCAGGGCAACAAGUAAAAUGGAAUCAGCAGAGUGAUACCAGUAAAGUGGCGUCAGUCGAGUACCUAUCAUUCGCAUAGAACAAUUGUUGGCGCCAGUAAACUGGCCCAAGAAGAUUGAGAUCAGUAAGCGUCGAUUGAUUUUACAUUUCCAGGCACGGUGAUUAGUGUGAGAACAUCUGCACGUACGUGUAUAUGCGAUGGCGACAGUGUGCAUGAAAGAGAAAAAGGCGUGCACAGUUACAAAAGCGUGUACAGUAUGAUUUGAGAUAGAAAAACACGGCAGAAAUGUGCCAUUAAUAUUAAUGGAAAAGUUGGAGAAAUAAUAUGUUUUCUUUUAUUUAAAUACAAGUUACCAAAUAUACAUGUAUAAAUUCAUCGAGGUUUAAUUAUCAAUGGUUAUUCAAACCCAACAAUUAGUGGCGCCAGCAAAGUGGCGCCAGUUGAAUUCGUAUGUUUUCCGAUAGGAUAAUCACUAGUGUCAGUGAAGCGGAUAAUUGAGUUUACGUCUUUCUAAAUAGAAAAAUUAUUUGUGCCAGUAAACUCCACCGACAAAGUGGCGCUAGUAAAGUGACGUGUCACCAAUAAAGUAACACUACUGGCGCCAGUAAUAUUUGCAACGUGACAAACUCGUUCAAGAAACAGUAUUUUCUUUUUGUCACUCAAACAGAAAGAAAUCGAUACCAUCAUAUCGAAGAAGAGCAAAGAUCAAAGUCUUUUCGAUAUUAUUCAAAUUUCGUAUUCGUAUAACAGAUACGAAAACUAAGAAGUGAAUUUCUUGUAUUUACAUUAACAGGCUCGAAAAAAAAUCUCAAAAAAUUCAGUGUUACACUUCAAGAUCUCCACGACAUUAUUCAACAGUCUUUAAUGUAAAAGGUUAAAGGCUCGUCUCAAAUAGCAAUCGAUAUGUAAACAGUGAAAUUUGGGGGCGAAAUUUCGCUUGUGCCCAAAGAGACUCGAGUGACCAAUGAAAAACAUUAAUUCAAUCUCGCGCAGACGAUUUUCCGUUAAAUUCUUUGCGCGAAUAUGUUAACAUAACAUUCAUCUAUAAACAAAAAUUUCAUUUAGCUGCUAAAGUUCGACUAGCAUUCGACAAAAAAAAAUAUUAAUUAUCUCGUGGAGCUAUUUAACUCUUUGGGGUUGGGUGGAUUAAAAACUGGCAUUUUUAUUUUUUGCUUAGCUUUGAUAUUUUAUUUAAAGUUUUUCAUUCAGUUGGCUUCGAACUAACGCUGAACGAUAAAUAAAGAAAAUAUAAUUUUAUACAAGUCGAAACGCAUUGAUAAAUUGUCGAAACCUCUUCUGUGCAGCUUGAGUUUUAUUUAAAAUUUUAAAUCGUGUGCCUCAAAGAGUUAAACAGAAAUAUUUCUGUGUGACGAUAUCGUUAAGACUGCCCGCUCAACUUUUCUUGCGUAAAUAUACAAAAAGAUCCACAUCGAAUUAUCGUUUUUACAGUCUACGAAUGAUCCCGAAGGCGAGGAAUUGCAAAGUUCAGCAAAGUCGAGAGAGUUAAAGAUUAUUGUGCCAUUUUAAGCGUCAUGCGCGAAAGCGAUCGUUGAGAUUUCAUUUCUUUUUUUCUUUUUUUUUUUUUCGAGAACUCGCGUUUCGUACCCGAUCGAAAAUGAUCAAGCGAUAAAUUGCAAAAAUAGUAAAGAAAUUCUUCUGUUAUCGGUAGAAGAUACCGUAAGUGGAUCCAUCAAGCUCUUGUGCGAUUUAGAUAUAGAAGAAUUUGAUAUAAAUCUCGAAAGUUGUUUCUAUUUCUCCGUAUCGCCACCAAAGAUGGACAAAAUUUUACUGAUCGAAUAAACUCGUUGAAUGAUUUAUUCGCAACGUUUGUUCAUUUAAAAUUUAUCCAGACAGAAGCCUUAAUACGUUUGAUAUGAAAUUGAAAAUUCGUCCUAUUUUGUCAUUUAAAUUGUAUUUUUGAUUGAAUGCAUAAUAGGACAGAGAUCGUUUAUCUUUUUCGUUAUUUUUUAUUUAAAAAUUUGGUUUGUCCAUCUCUGUCAGGAGAUGAGUCUCCAUUUUCAGAGGAAUUUAGUUCAUCAGCAAGAGUUUCUGUGAAACGAUAUACAUUAUCGUGUACAGGAGAGUCGAUACACACAUUCGCGGCAAACACUGUAAAAUGUAUCGUGUGCAGUCUGACCAAUAUUCGACCGAUUUCGUCGCCAUUCCGUGCAAAUAGUUUAAAAAGAGAUCUUUCGAUUCCGACACUCUUACACCAAAACGCAGAAGAUAAAUAUAAAAUUGAUUCCAAAAUAAAUUUGUUUUCAUUUCGAAGUAAAAAGAUGAAAGUUUCAUAGAAUACGAUCACUUGUCUUAUUGGUAUUUUUAACGGUAGCCUAUUAAACAGAAUAUGCAAGAUACCAAUUUGUUUAGAACGUUCGAGAUAUUCUAAGAGCGAUGCGAUUCGAAGAAAAUUUAAUGGUAAAACGUAUGAAUGCGUUGUAACUUUAAUAAUAUUUGAAAUGGGUUAAAUUUUAUUUGAGUAAUAAAUGAGAAAUAAAAUCAAAAUAUAACAAUAGCUUGAUAUAAUAGUCAAGAAGACAAUAAUAGAGGACCUCUUAUUUUUGUUAUAUUUAUUAGAUUUAUUCGCAACAGGUAAAUUCGUAUUUGUUCAUUAUGAAGUACUGAAUUCUGUAACUCAAAUUUUUAUUUUUAUUAGAAAUAGUUGUUUGUCUUUUAUUCGCUAUUCGAGAUUUUUGUCCAGAUAAGGAUUUUAUCCCAUCUCUGUUUUCAAAUUAGAUUCGGAUUAACGUGCGUCAAUCAUGCAUCCCUGAGUGACGUCAGGUCGAAGACCAAGCUCAUAUUUUGGACGAAGAUUUACGUUUGCUGUGAUAUCUUUUUCUAUUGAAAAUGAUUAUUGUGUCACCAUAAAUUAAUCGAUACAAAAUUCUUUAUCUUCAUCUCUCUUGCUUCACUUUCAUCUGGUCGUUUUUGUGACAAUAAAAAUUACACACCCUUGAAGGAUACGUUAAGAAGGGAAAGUCCAAAAAUUCGUUUAAAAUUGUACAGUUUGUUACACGAUUGAUUGAUUACUCAAAAGACCAAAGUGAUUGGUUAUUCCAGCAUAAAAAUAUUUGAUACCAUCAAAGACGAAUGAAAAUCUUUAUUCGCGAUAAUUUUAUAAUAGAAACUCUAUCCUAUUUUAUUAAAGUUUUAUAUUCAUUCGUUCUUCGAUUAUAUAAAAAAAUGUUCGUGCUUGAAUAACCCGUUACUUUGAUAUUUUAAAUUCGUUUAAAAGAUACUCAAACCAAAGAUGGGCAAAAUUCUCGUAAAAAUUCUCAAUAAAAAUUGUGGAGCGAACGAAACUAUUUGUACUGGUUAAAUCAAAAUUAUACUUUCAGUUAUAGAAUCGUAUAUUUCGUAAUGUACGAUUAAAAAGCUCUUGAAUCGAAUAAACGACACGAAUAACGAAUAAUUUCUAUAUGAUUUUAUUCUCAGUCUGUUCGAAUAAAAUUUCGCCCAUUCCUGGCUCGAAAUAAUAGACAAAAUAAUAGUGCGUCUGUUUUCAGUAAAAAUCUGGCAGUCGGUUUUACCAGAUUUUGUGACGAAUAUCGCGAUGCGAGUAGAAAAAAUUCGUGUUGCGUGGAAAGUGCGGCGAGAGGCAAAUUACACCCGAUAUAAUUCUUCAUGGGAAAUUAACUACGAAUCUGAAACAGGGAAUUGCAACGAUAACGUCGCUAACGAGUUUCGCGUUGGCAUCGUUGGAAUUAAUAAGGGUUAAUUGGACGCGAAAGUCGUGGAGGAAGUUUGCUAAUUGUCUCGAGGCGCGAACGAAGAACGAACUUAGUGGCGCAAUCAGAAAUUUCAAAUAUGAAAAUAAAUGCUUGUUUAUGUGUGUAUUUAUGAACGAAAAGAAUGCUGAAUCUUUGUAUUUAGAAAAAGACACGAAGAAGUAUUUAUCAAUAAAUACAAACGAGUAUUAAUAAAUAGGACGAAUUGCCUCUCUAUAAUAUUCAAUUUUAUUUUCAUUCGUUUCUCGCCACUGUAUAGAGGAUUUCAAGAAUUUUCAUAUUUUAUUUCGCGUCAAAUACGAGCAGAAAUAUUUGUUCGCACGUGCAUUUAUAAAUGAAAAGAAUGCUCGAUACUUGUAUUUGUAAGCAAAUAUAAAUAUUUAUAAGUAAAUGAUUAUUUUUUCCGUAACCUCUUGGUUAUUGCGAACACGGAAACUUUAUUCUCGGAGAAAACUUUAUUCAGAUGGAUCUUCAUGGGGCACAAGUACAUGGAGAUAUACAAGCGAAAUGUCUACGAAGUAUCACAGAAAAGUUCAAGAAAUGUUAAAAGGAAUGUUGAAACAAGAUUGAAACAAG